GGUUAGGGUUAGGGUUAGGGUUAGGGUUAGGGUAAGGGUUAGGAAGCCUUCUUCUUUUUGUGAAGAGAGAGGAACAGUGAUGGCAGUGCUGACCAGUCAGUUUCAGGGGAAACACACAUCCCUAGGACAAGCAGCAGAGACAGGUCAAGGCAAGGCUGUGGGACCUCGGAGGUACAAAGAAGGAUAAGGAGCCGUGAAGCCGGCGCUGACCAGCCAAAAUCAGCACAAACUCACAGCCCAAGGAAAAGCAGCAGAUAUGUGGCAAUCGAGGCACAGACGCCGUUGCUAGUGCAGAAUGAAGACCCUUGAUUAGGCAGGUCCAGCACAGGCAAUAAAAGCUCAGGGGUGUAAGGAAGGAAGAGGAGUGGUGAAGCCAGCACUGACUAGCCAGUUGCUGGGCAAAUACACAGCCCAAGCUACAGCAUCGGAGACAGGUCGAGCCUGGGCAGCGGAACCUCAGAGCUUCGAAGGAGAAAGACGAGGAGUGGAGAAAAUCCUCCGCGAUGGCAGAGCAUUGGACACAACCAAAGAAAAGCUGGUUGGCCCUCAUGGAGCCCGGACUGCAAUGAUAAUGCCCCAAAUAGUGGUUGUAUCACCAUCGGGCUGCAUGAGAAGCCCACCUCCCUUUGGAUGCUUCCACAACGCAUCUGCAAGCGCCAAAGACCCCGAGAGAGGCUGCAAAACAGAAAACUGUCCGUCCUGUGACCACGUGGCAAGAGAUGGAGAAAAAGAAAAGAGAGGUCUUGCAAAAGAUGGUGGAGUUUUCCUUUCUUCCCGGUGCUCUUUCCUGGGAAUGAGGAGGAAGGCUUUCACGGCCGGGCUGCGGCUCUGAAGCCGGCCCAACACACAGAUGGAAGCGGGGCUGUCCCAGUGCUGUCCGCAGUGCGGACGGACAGAGAGCUUCCAACCCCGUGAUCCUAUGGACACGGCAGCACAUGGCUGUGAUGUGAGCCGUGACGAGGGACUUGUGCACGUUCAUCCAUUCAACGUGAGUUGGACGCUU
rnacentral:lncRNA from 1 species